rnacentral:rRNA from 1 species
GGGAAUGUUGCGCAAUGGAGGAAACUCUGACGCAGUGACGCCGCGUAUAGGAAGAAGGUUUUCGGAUUGUAAACUAUUGUCGUGAGGGAAGAAAUUGACAGUACCUCAGGAGGAAGCUCCGGCUAACUAUGUGCCAGCAGCCGCGGUAAUACAUAGGGAGCAAGCGUUAUCCGGAUUUAUUGGGUGUAAAGGGUGCGUAGACGGGAAAUUAAGUUAGUUGUGAAAUCCCUCGGCUUAACUGAGGAACUGCAACUAAAACUGAUUUUCUUGAGUACUGGAGAGGAAAGUGGAAUUCCUAGUGUAGCGGUGAAAUGCGUAGAUAUUAGGAGGAACACCAGUGGCGAAGGCGACGAUCUGGCCUGCAACUGACGCUCAGUCCCGAAAGCGUGGGGAGCAAAUAGG